CUCAAAGGAAUUGACGGGGACCCGCACAAGCGGUGGAUGAUGUGGAUUAAUUCGAUGCAACGCGAAAAACCUUACCUACCCUUGACAUCUGAUUCAUCUGGAAGAAGUCGGUUGGAGGGUCUUGCGGACCCUGAACACAGGUGCUGCAUGGCUGUCGUCAGCUCGUGUCGUGAGAUGUUGGGUUAAGUCCCGCAACGAGCGCAACCCUUGUCCCUAAUUGCCAUCAUAUAUUUGGGCACUUUAGCGAGACUGCCGGUGACAAACCGGAGGAAGGUGGGGAUGACGUCAAGUCCUCAUGGCCCUUAUGGGUAGGGCUUCACACGUCAUACAAUGGUCGGUACAGAGGGUUGCCAAGGCGCGAGGUGGAGCCAAUCCCUUAAAGCCGAUCGUAGUCCGGAUCGUAGUCUGCAACUCGACUACGUGAAGUCGGAAUCGCUAGUAAUCGCGGAUCAGCAUGCUGCGGUGAAUACGUUCCCGGGUCUUGUACACACCGCCCGUCACACCAUGGGAGUGGGUCUAACCAGAAGUAGGUAGAUUAACCUUGGGGAGGGCGCUAACAACGGUACGAUUCCUGACUGGGGUG
rnacentral:rRNA from 1 species